rnacentral:rRNA from 1 species
GGAAUAGAUAACCGCUGAAAGCAUCUAAGCGGGAAACUAGCCUCAAGAUGAGAUCUCACUGGGAACUUGAUUCCCCUGAAGGGCCGUCGAAGACUACGACGUUGAUAGGUCGGGUGUGUAAGCGCUGUGAGGCGUUGAGCUAACCGAUACUAAUUGCCCGUGAGGCUUGACCAU